AUGACAAAAAGCAACCUUGCAGGAAUGGAGGAAUCUGUCCAGAGCUGUGCCCCUGCUUGCCACAGGAGCUGCGCGGGAGGAGAAGAACGUGGGCCAAAAGGAAUGGAGGAAUCUGUCCAGAGCUGUGCCCCUGCUUGCCACAGGAGCUGCGCGGGAGGAGAAGAACGUGGGCCAAAAGGUAAGAGGAGCUCCUUUGGGUUCUGGGCUUGAAGCAAAGCUGAGAAGCCAUGCCCGGGAGGAGGUGUGGGUAGCUACAGGCCACCUUGCUAUCUCCCCAAGAGAUGAGGUGGUGGGCUAGGCACCGGGCAGGAGUGCUGGCCAGAAGCAAGCAUCUCUGUGGAGGAAGGCAAAGGGCGGAGGAGGUUCAAGGGUAGCUACCGGGCAUGGCCUUGCUCAGCAAGGGGAGGAAAAGCCUGAAGGGCACGAGAAGGGGAUAGAGAAGGGCAGGCAGUAGGCGUGAAGCUGCGAGCAGAGUAGAGAGCAACUUGGCAGAGCAGCAAGCAGAGUAGGCAAGUGUUGAGGUUUGGCGUGAGUAGCAGCAAAAGCCCAGAGCAUCAAGAAGCAGGAAGUGAGGAGAAGGUAAGUGAAGGGCAGGCAAGGUAAUGGGAGGCAAAGGCAAGGGGAAAGGGGGGGUAAGGGAGAAAGAAGGGAUGGGGAUGGGGAGGGGAUGGGUGAAGAGCAGAGCGGAGGGAAGGGCUGAGGGGAGGGCUGAAGGCAAACCUAUGAUGAAAAAAGAAAAGAAAAAAUAAGAACAAAAAAUAUGAAAAAAGAGAAAAAAAGAAAAGAAAAAUAAGAAAAAGAGAAAAAAUGAAAAGAAAAAAAUGAACAAAAAGAGUAAAAAGAGAAAAAAAAGAGAAAAAGAGAAAAAAGAGAAAAGAAAAAAGAAAAAAUGAACAAAAAAGAGAAAAAAGAGAAAAGAUAAAAAAAGAAAAAAGAUAAAGAAAAGAGAAAAGAAAAAAGAAAAUAGAAAUAAAAAAGAGACAGAAAAAUAUGAAAAAAGAAAAAGAAAAAAGAAAAGAAAAAACAGUAGAUGAAAAAAGAAAAAACAAAAGGAAAAACGAAUAAUGACAAGAGAAGAAAGGUAAAGAGAAAAGAAGAAAAAAGCCAAGUCAAAAAGUAAAGAAUAACUCGAAGGAAGGAGUGGAUGGCAAGAAAUACAGAGAAAGCAGUGCAUAGCACAGCAGAGCAAAGCAAGGCAAAAUAGCAGCCAAAGCCACGAGAAUCAAGAAGUCAGUGAAGAGCAGGAAAGGUAAGUUUCCCUUAAAGCAAGGGGGAAUGGUAGUGGAAGGGAGAAAAGAGAGGGGAGGGGAGGGGAAGUGAAGGAGUGGGG
rnacentral:lncRNA from 7 species